rnacentral:rRNA from 1 species
UACGGGGGGGGCAAGCGUUGUUCGGAAUUACUGGGCGUAAAGGGCUGGUAGGUGGCCAACUAAGUCAAACGUGAAAUCCCCAGGCUUAACCUGGGAACUGCGUCUGAUACUGGAUGGCUGGAGUUUGGGAGAGGGAUGCGGAAUUCCAGGUGUAGCGGUGAAAUGCGUAGAUAUCUGGAGGAACACCGGUGGCGAAGGCGGCAUCCUGGACCAAUACUGACACUGAACAGCGAAAGCCAGGGGAGCAAACGGG